CCCUUUGGGGUGUGACUGCGUACCUUUUGUAUAAUGGGUCAGCGACUUAUAUUCUGUAGCAAGGUUAACCGUAUAGGGGAGCCGUAGGGAAACCGAGUCUUAACCGGGCGUUAAGUUGCAGGGUAUAGACCCGAAACCCGGUGAUCUAGCCAUGGGCAGGUUGAAGGUUGGGUAACACUAACUGGAGGACCGAACCGACUAAUGUUGAAAAAUUAGCGGAUGACCUGUGGCUGGGGGUGAAAGGCCAAUCAAACCGGGAGAUAGCUGGUUCUCCCCGAAAGCUAUUUAGGUAGCGCCUCGUGAAUUCAUCUCCGGGGGUAGAGCACUGUUUCGGCUAGGGGGCCAUCCCGGCUUACCAACCCGAUGCAAACUGCGAAUACCGGAGAAUGUUAUCACGGGAGACACACGGCGGGUGCUAACGUCCGUCGUGAAGAGGGAAACAACCCAGACCGCCAGCUAAGGUCCCAAAGUCAUGGUUAAGUGGGAAACGAUGUGGGAAGGCCCAGACAGCCAGGAUGUUGGCUUAGAAGCAGCCAUCAUUUAAAGAAAGCGUAAUAGCUCACUGGUCGAGUCGGCCUGCGCGGAAGAUGUAACGGGGCUAAACCAUGCACCGAAGCUGCGGCAGCGAACGUAUCACCCAAGACAACUUUACGGAGUUGACGAUUGACGGAGCGAAGCGACGUCAAAGCGUUCAUUAAAGUCGAGUUGGCUUAGGGAUACGUUCGUUGGGUAGGGGAGCGUUCUGUAAGCCUGUGAAGGUGUGUCGUGAGGCAUGCUGGAGGUAUCAGAAGUGCGAAUGCUGACAUAAGUAACGAUAAAGCGGGUGAAAAGCCCGCUCGCCGGAAGACCAAGGGUUCCUGUCCAACGUUAAUCGGGGCAGGGUGAGUCGACCCCUAAGGCGAGGCCGAAAGGCGUAGUCGAUGGGAAACGGGUUAAUAUUCCCGUACUUGGUGUUACUGCGAAGGGGGGACGGAGAAGGCUAUGUUGGCCGGGCGACGGUUGUCCCGGUUUAAGCGUGUAGGUGUGUGUUCCAGGUAAAUCCGGUUCACUUUAACACUGAGGCGUGAUGACGAGGCACUACGGUGCUGAAGCAACAAAUGCCCUGCUUCCAGGAAAAGCCUCUAAGCAUCAGGUAACAUCAAAUCGUACCCCAAACCGACACAGGUGGUCAGGUAGAGAAUACCAAGGCGCUUGAGAGAACUCGGGUGAAGGAACUAGGCAAAAUGGUGCCGUAACUUCGGGAGAAGGCACGCUGACACGUAGGUGAAGUGAUUUACUCAUGGAGCUGAAGUCAGUCGAAGAUACCAGCUGGCUGCAACUGUUUAUUAAAAACACAGCACUGUGCAAACACGAAAGUGGACGUAUACGGUGUGACGCCUGCCCGGUGCCGGAAGGUUAAUUGAUGGGGUCAGCGCAAGCGAAGCUCCUGAUCGAAGCCCCGGUAAACGGCGGCCGUAACUAUAACGGUCCUAAGGUAGCGAAAUUCCUUGUCGGGUAAGUUCCGACCUGCACGAAUGGCGUAAUGAUGGCCAGGCUGUCUCCACCCGAGACUCAGUGAAAUUGAACUCGCUGUGAAGAUGCAGUGUACCCGCGGCAAGACGGAAAGACCCCGUGAACCUUUACUAUAGCUUGACACUGAACAUUGAGCCUUGAUGUGUAGGAUAGGUGGGAGGCUUUGAAGUGUGGACGCCAGUCUGCAUGGAGCCGACCUUGAAAUACCACCCUUUAAUGUUUGAUGUUCUAACGUGGACCCGUUA
rnacentral:rRNA from 1 species